UACGUAGGGGGCUAGCGUUAUCCGGAAUGAUUGGGCGUAAAGCGUCCGCAGGUGGCAGUUCAAGUCUGCUGUCAAAGACCGGGGCUUAACUUCGGAAAGGCAGUGGAAACUGAACAGCUAGAGUAUGGUAGGGGCAGAGGGAAUUCCUGGUGUAGCGGUGAAAUGCGUAGAGAUCAGGAAGAACAUCGGUGGCGAAGGCGCUCUGCUGGACCAUAACUGACACUCAGGGACGAAAGCUAGGGGAGCGAACGGG
rnacentral:rRNA from 1 species